AGGAUAAAUGUAAUAAUAGUAGCCGCUAACUAACUAUAAAGCGGUUAAAUUCCGUUAUAUCCUU
rnacentral:tRNA from 1 species